GAGGGUAUAGCUCGCUGGUAGAGUGUGCAUUUAGCAUGCACAAGGUCCUGGGUUCAAUCCCCAGCACCUCCA
rfam:Camelus ferus unplaced genomic scaffold scaffold782, whole genome shotgun sequence.